UACGAAGGGUGCUAGCGUUGUUCGGAAUUACUGGGCGUAAAGCGCGUGUAGGCGGGCCGGUAAGUCGGGGGUGAAAGCCCAGAGCUCAACUCUGGAAUUGCCUUCGAUACUGGCGGCCUGGAGCAUGAUAGAGGCGAGUGGAAUUGCGUGUGUAGAGGUGAAAUUCGUAGAUAUUCGCAGGAACACCAGUGGCGAAGGCGACUCGCUGGAUCAGUGCUGACGCUGAGACGCGAAAGCGUGGGGAGCAAACAGG
rnacentral:rRNA from 1 species